rnacentral:rRNA from 1 species
GAGGAAGUAAAAGUCGUAACAAGGUCUCCGUUGGUGAACCAGCGGAGGGAUCAUUAUCGAGUUUACAACUCCCAAACCCUUAUGUGAACAUACCUACUGUUGCUUCGGCGGACUCGCCCCGGCGUCCGGACGGCCUCGCGCCGCCCGCGGCCCGGACUCAGGCGGCCGCCGGAGACCCCUAAACUCUGUAUUAUCAGCAUUUUCUGAAUCCGCCGCAAGGCAAAACAAAUGAAUCAAAACUUUCAACAACGGAUCUCUUGGUUCUGGCAUCGAUGAAGAACGCAGCGAAAUGCGAUAAGUAAUGUGAAUUGCAGAAUUCAGUGAAUCAUCGAAUCUUUGAACGCACAUUGCGCCCGCCAGCAUUCUGGCGGGCAUGCCUGUUCGAGCGUCAUUUCAACCCUCGACUUCCCUUUGGGGAAAUCGGCGUUGGGGAACGGCAGCAUACCGCCGGCCCCGAAAUGGAGUGGCGGCCCGUCCGCGGCGACCUCUGCGUAGUAAUCCAACUCGCACCGGAACCCCGACGUGGCCACGCCGUAAAACACCCAACUUCUGAACGUUGACCUCGGAUCAGGUAGGAAUACCCGCUGAACUUAAGCAUAUCAAUA